AACGAACGCUGGCGGCAGGCUUAACACAUGCAAGUCGAACGCCCCGCAAGGGGAGUGGCAGACGGGUGAGUAACGCGUGGGAAUCUACCCAACUCUACGGAAUAACUCAGGGAAACUUGUGCUAAUACCGUAUACGCCCUUCGGGGAAAGAUUUAUCGGAGUUGGAUGAGCCCGCGUUGGAUUAGCUAGUUGGUGGGGUAAAGGCCUACCAAGGCGACGAUCC
rnacentral:rRNA from 1 species